rnacentral:rRNA from 1 species
AGGAUGAACGCUGGCGGCGUGCUUAACACAUGCAAGUCGAACGAUGAAGGCUGGAGCUUGCUCUGGCUGGAUUAGUGGCGAACGGAUGAGUAACACGUGAGUAACCUGCCCCAGACUCUGGGAUAAGCGCUGGAAACGGCGUCUAAUACCGGAUACGAGCUUCCACCGCAUGGUGAGGAGCUGGAAAGAAUUUCGGCUGGGAUGGACUCGCGGCCUAUCAGCUUGUUGGUGAGGUAAUGGCUCGACCAAGGCGACGACGGGUAGCCGGCCUGAGAGGGUGACCGGCCACGACUGGGACUGAAGACACGGCCCAGACUCCUACGGGAGGCAGCGAGUGGGGAAUAUUGCACUAAGUCGGGACGCGAACGCCUGAACGUGACAGCGAAACGCCGCGUGAGGGACGAAAGGCCCGUUACGGUU